GAUGAAGAACGCAGCGAAAUGCGAUAAUUAAUGUGAAUUGCAGAAUUUAGUGAAUCAUCGAAUCUUUGAACGCACAUUGCGCCCGCCAGCACUCUGGCGGGCAUGCCUGUUCGAGCGUCAUUUCAACCAUCAAGCCCCAGGCUUGCGUUGGAGCCCUGCGGCUGCCGCAGCCUCCUAAAAGCAGUGGCGGGCUCGCUAUCACACCGAGUGCAGUAGAUUACUCUUCGCUCAGGGCGUGCAGCGGGUUCCGGCCGUGAAACCCCCUACUUUUAAAGGUUGACCUCGGAUCAGGUAGGAAUACCCGCUGAACUUAAGCAUAUCAAUAAGCGGAGGA
rnacentral:misc_RNA from 1 species